UAGAUACCCCGGUAGUCCACGCCGUAAACGAUGAGUGCUAAGUGUUAGGGGGUUUCCGCCCCUUAGUGCUGCAGCUAACGCAUUAAGCACUCCGCCUGGGGAGUACGGUCGCAAGACUGAAACUCAAAGGAAUUGACGGGGGCCCGCACAAGCGGUGGAGCAUGUGGUUUAAUUCGAAGCAACGCGAAGAACCUUACCAGGUCUUGACAUCCCAUUGACCACUAUGGAGACAUAGUUUUCCCUUCGGGGACAACGGUGACAGGUGGUGCAUGGUUGUCGUCAGCUCGUGUCGUGAGAUGUUGGGUUAAGUCCCGCAACGAGCGCAACCCUUGUUCUUAGUUGCCAUCAUUUAGUUGGGCACUCUAAGGAGACUGCCGGUGACAAACCGGAGGAAGGUGGGGAUGACGUCAAAUCAUCAUGCCCCUUAUGACCUGGGCUACACACGUGCUACAAUGGACGGUACAAACGGUUGCCAACCCGCGAGGGGAGCUAAUCCGAUAAAACCGUUCUCAGUUCGGAUUGUAGGCUGCAACUCGCCUACA
rnacentral:rRNA from 1 species